UACGUAGGUGGCAAGCGUUGUCCGGAAUUACUGGGCGUAAAGCGUGCGCAGGCGGUUUGUUAAGUCUGUUGUGAAAUCCCCGAGCUCAACUUGGGAAUUGCAAUGGAUACUGGCAGGCUGGAGUAUGGUAGAGGAAGGUGGAAUUCCCGGUGUAGCAGUGAAAUGCGUAGAUAUCGGAAGGAACAUCAGUGGCGAAAGCGGCUUCCUGGACCAGUACCGACGUUCAGGCACGAAAGCGUGGGGAGCAAACAGG
rnacentral:rRNA from 1 species